rnacentral:misc_RNA from 1 species
AUGGGAUGGAAGCAUUUUGACAAAGGAAGAACUAGAUACCUUAUUUCUUAGCAAGAAAGAGGCUGCGAUAAAGAGAGAAAGGAUAAAAGAAUACUCGUUUAAUCACAGGGUAAGUUUCUCUAUGUUUGGCAUUCUUUCUUUUCUAGAAUUAACUUCUUCUACAGUAGCAUUUUCUCAUAAUGGAAGGGGAAAAAAAUCUUCCAGAAUUCAGCAGAAACCGAGAGGAAUAAGGUGAAUGGAAGGUGGAGGUACUGGCUAGAGCAAUGGGUGGAUAGUCAAGUUUCUAACAAGAGCAAAGAACUAGAAGAUUUGGAUACAGUUUUAACUUCAAGUCCAAAGCCUAGAGUGGAAUACAGAGGGAAACAACUUAAAUUGAGAGGUCUGCAAAGACAGGAUCAAGUUGAAGGAUUAGAUUCUCCCACAACAGCUCCAAGAAGAUCAUUUCACAGAAAGCAAUGCUCCCUGGGAGAAGACAAUUCCUUCUUCAGGUCUCAUGUGAUUCCAACUUACAUGGCUGCAACUGAA